rnacentral:rRNA from 1 species
CGAAAAUGUAACGGGGCUCAAGUGAUGCACCGAAGCUUAGGGUGUGAUCGUUUACGAUCACGCGGUAGCGGAGCGUUCCGUAGGCUGAUGAAGCGAUCUGGUAAUGGGUCGUGGAGGUAUCGGAAGUGCGAAUGCAGACAUGAGUAGCGAUAAAGAGGGUGAGAUGCCCUCUCGCCGAAAGACCAAGGGUUCCUGCGCAAGGCUAAUCCGCGCAGGGUGAGCCGGCCCCUAAGACGAGCCCGAAGGGGGUAGUCGAUGGGAACCACGUUAAUAUUCGUGGGCCAGAUGGAAGUGACGGAUCUCGAAGAUUGUUCCUCCUUAUCGGAUUGGAGGGGCCGUUCAGAGGUUCCUGGAAAUAGCUCCAUCAUCAGACCGUACCCUAAACCGACACAGGUGGACUGGUAGAGAAUACCAAGGCGCUUGAGAGAACUAUGUUGAAG